rnacentral:rRNA from 1 species
UGGGGAAUAUUGGACAAUGGGCGCAAGCCUGAUCCAGCCAUGCCGCGUGAGUGAUGAAGGCCCUAGGGUUGUAAAGCUCUUUCACCGGUGAAGAUAAUGAAGGUAACCGGAGAAGAAGCCCCGGCUAACUUCGUGCCAGCAGCCGCGGUAAUACGAAGGGGGCUAGCGUUGUUCGGAUUUACUGGGCGUAAAGCGCACGUAGGCGGACUUUUAAGUCAGGGGUGAAAUCCCGGGGCUCAACCCCGGAACUGCCUUUGAUACUGGAAGUCUUGAGUAUGGUAGAGGUGAGUGGAAUUCCGAGUGUAGAGGUGAAAUUCGUAGAUAUUCGGAGGAACACCAGUGGCGAAGGCGGCUCACUGGACCAUUACUGACGCUGAGGUGCGAAAGCGUGGGGAGCAAACAGG